rnacentral:snRNA from 1 species
CUGCACAGGCUUCUCUUCAGAUCUUACAAAUAUUUUGCCUUUUAUUAAAGAUUUCUGUGGAGUAGGACACUUGUGAGUUUCAAUCUAAUCUGAAUUGUGACUAGCUCUCAGCUAUGCA